GAGACACUGCCUGUCUGGGGAGAAAGAUGUGUGGCAUGUGAAGGCAGCGAGGACUUUGUGUGGUUUUAAAUUAAAAAGGUAAAUUCAGACCAAUGAAGAAGCUUGGCUGAAAUACCCUUUCACCAUCUCUCUGACAGAUGGGAGCCUGGUGCACCUUAAAAGCAAGAAUUAAAAAUCAGUUUAUGAAGGGGUCUCUCAGAGCUGCUUCAUGGCAAAAGGCUGCUGAUGGAGUUUUGAAGAAGAGCAUUGCCUGCCAGGCACCAGUUUGGCAGCAGAUGACUGAAAGUGAUCCUGAGGCUUGGCCAAGCUGGAAGCACGUCCCGUUGCUGGGGGAACAGCCAUGCUGUGGCUCCCAGGUGAAAGGAUGUUUGAUCUUUAAAAUAGUGGUGUAAAGGUUCAUGUGAAAUACAUUGUCUGGGUUUUAAAAAUACCAGCUUGACAUUUAGUGGGACAUAAACAGAAUAUAUCUACAGUUUAGCUGGUGGUUGACAAAUAAUAAUAAAAACUGACUACAUCUGAAAAUGUAUUUGAAUUUCUGCCAAUUGUGCUCUAGCUCUUUUAGCACAACAGUUCUGGAAAAAACAACCAGAAAAAGGGUAGCAUUGAGUUGACAAGGAGGAGAGUUUAUUAUCUUAACAUUAUUGUGCUAUUAUUUCUGGACUACUUUUUUCCAUUGUGACUUAAUAAAUGGUGGAUUCAAGAGUAAAGUUUAGAGUAAGAACUUAACAUGGGAGACGAAGUAAAGCAGCUGAGUGGAUGGGAAUGAGAGUGGAUGACUUGUAGAGACUCCCAUUUUCCUCCAUAAAUAUGAGUCCUGAUGAAUUGUGGAGAAAUUUGAAUGAAAGUGAAUAAGCAUUGUAUUUCCACAGAAAAGUAGUUAGGAGCUACAGUGAAAGUUACAAAGGGGAGAGUUCAAAAGUAAGGGAAAAACAGAAGAAUAAUUGGGAAGAAGUUUGGAGUAAGCAACUUCUCAGGUACAACAGUAACUCAGUGGCAGUGGCUUGAAGGAGGGUGGGUUUCCUGGGCGAACUGUACUGAACCUGAGACCUCAUUUUCUCUUUGGCAACUCAUUUCACAGCCUCCCUUCUGGAGCUGCUAGAUGGACAUUUAUUUUCAAUCAUGCAACAUUGGAACUAAUUAUAUGUACAGGGAAUGAUGCACCCACAGACCUGUGUGCUCAACUGCCCUGGCCCGUUCCUGGCAGCCCAUCUCUGCAAAUCUUCAACGGACUGGUGCUCCCUCCAAAAUUAGCAGGGAAAUUUCCCACGCUGGCUUAGCAGAAGUCUCCUGGGCAAUGGAUGGAAGCUGCUCAAUCAGUUGGUUUCAGUGACAUAACCAGGCUUCGCCUUUCCCCUGUUGCCCUGCUGUGCUCUUGCAUAUUUUUAGCAUAGUUUCACAGCUGACACCUCCUGCUCUAGGACCUCGCACGGCUCGUCAGCAGGACUGCUCAGCCGUGCCUGAUGUUGGCAUCACGGGGACAGGGGAGAGGCUGUGAGUCUGGAGAGAGCCUUGCUGAAAGGCAUGUGUCCCCAGCAGUGGCUUUUCAGCAAGGCUCUGCCCAUCCCAUGCCUUUUGCCUGCAGCCAUCACCCACCCCAGGGAACCAGACACCCUCUCCAGCUGCCUGAUCCACGGGGAUUCUGCUGUGGCAAGACUCAUCCUUUCCAUGUUGUUUUUGAGGAACACCAGGUACUCCAGAAGCUGGAAACAAUUUUUUUCCACUAAUUAGUAAAUUGCUGGGAGGAGCUUCAGUUUCACAGAAGAGAGACCUUUUGCAGGCAGAGACAGUGGGGAUGGAUUUGCCCUGAAUGCUGAGGGAAAAUAGCCCUUCUUCAACUGGGAUUCAAAACUACAUCCAAAAUGCACGUUCAAAGCAGCACUUGUGUGGAUGGUGAAAAGAGCAUGUGAUCUCACACUUUGCCCAGCUUGUGUGAUCACCACAGAGUCCGAGGAUUCAGCAAUCUGUCCCAGGAAGAAAGUUUUGAAAUGUGUUAUUUGUGAGAAAAGUGUUCUUGGGAAAUUUCAUUGCUGGUUUGACUCGUUUUGCUGCUUUGUGUAGGUGUGAUUAGGUAAGUCUCAUGUUUGGAAUGCUUUGGGGCUAUUUCUUGGUGAGAAGAUAGCUUUCCUGUUUUGUUACUUUGGUGACAAUUACAGUUUGAAAAGCAAACCCUGUGUGACCCUCACUUCUUACUUGGAUUUGCAGG